rnacentral:rRNA from 1 species
UACGGAGGUGGCAAGCGUUGUUCGGAAUUACUGGGCGUAAAGGGCGCGUAGGCGGCUUAACAAGUCAGAUGUGAAAGCCCCGGGCUCAACCUGGGAAUUGCAUCUGAAACUGUAUAGCUUGAGUCCUGGAGGGGAUGGUGGAAUUCCCAGUGUAGCGGUGAAAUGCGUAGAUAUUGGGAGGAACACCUGCGGCGAAGGCGGCCAUCUGGACAGUGACUGACGCUGAGGCGCGAAAGCUAGGGGAGCGAAC